rnacentral:rRNA from 1 species
ACCUUUGACAUGUACGGAACCCUUUAGAGAUAGAGGGUGCUCGAAAGAGAGCCGUAACACAGGUGCUGCAUGGCUGUCGUCAGCUCGUGUCGUGAGAUGUUGGGUUAAGUCCCGCAACGAGCGCAACCCUUGUCAUUAGUUGCUACAUUCAGUUGGGCACUCUAAUGAGACUGCCGGUGACAAGCCGGAGGAAGGUGGGGAUGACGUCAAGUCCUCAUGGCCCUUAUAGGUGGGGCUACACACGUCAUACAAUGGCUGGUACAAAGGGUUGCCAACCCGCGAGGGGGAGCCAAUCCCAUAAAGCCAGUCGUAGUCCGGAUCGUAGUCUGCAACUCGACUACGUGAAGUCGGAAUCGCUAGUAAUCGUGGAUCAGAAUGUCACGGUGAAUACGUUCCCGGGUCUU